UGCUGUAAAGCACUAGCUCUAUUUUAAAAGGCUUUUUAGAAGAAAAAAGGCACUUUAAAAAGAUCUAACACCCAGCAGGGUGUAUUGUCUUAGCCUCCCUUUUUAAAUACAACAUUCAAAUU